GGCCGGGUCGUUUAGUGGUAGGACGCUGGAUUCAUCCUUUCAGAAGCGCGGGUUCGAUUCCCGCCCCGGCCG